rnacentral:rRNA from 1 species
GACGAACGCUGGCGGCGUGCUUAACACAUGCAAGUCGAACGGAAAGGCCCUGCUUUUGUGGGGUGCUCGAGUGGCGAACGGGUGAGUAACACGUGAGUAACCUGCCCUUGACUUUGGGAUAACUUCAGGAAACUGGGGCUAAUACCGGAUAGGAGCUCCUGCUGCAUGGUGGGGGUUGGAAAGUUUCGGCGGUUGGGGAUGGACUCGCGGCUUAUCAGCUUGUUGGUGGGGUAGUGGCUUACCAAGGCUUUGACGGGUAGCCGGCCUGAGAGGGUGACCGGCCACAUUGGGACUGAGAGACGGCCCAGACUCCUACGGGGGGCAGCAGUGGGGAAGAUUGCACAAUGGGUGGAAGCCUGAUGCAGCAACGCCGUGGGCGGGAUGACGGCCUUCGGGUUGGAAACCGCUUUCGCUCAUGACGAAGCUUUGUGUGACGGUAGUGGGUAAAGAAGCACCGGCUAACUACGUG